CCAGUCUAAUCCCCCGGCGCCUUUAGCUGCCGAAGCGCACUCGCUUGGUCAAGGAAGGUGGGAGGGAGAUCGGCGGGACCCCACGCCGCGCGCGUACCAGCCAUCGCCGGUCGUUUUUCGCCGUCUCGGAGAAGGGAGCAGGAGAGAGAAAGGAGGAUGUGAGGUGGAGAGAACCUGUUGGGGUUGAAGCUGACGGCGGAGGACGGCGGGCGGCUCGUGCGGAGGAGGUGAGCGCGCGUGGCCGGCGGUGAGUCGAGGUGGUCGUCUCCGUGCAUACUCCUCAUUUUUAUAGGUGGAAGACGGAAUCACGGGAGAACAGAGCCUGUGGCCGGACGGGAAUGGAAAUGGGUAUGAACGGACUGUGUGGGGAUGGCAAUGGACGGCUCCGAUCCGAUCGGAUCUUUUCAUGACUCAUGAUUCUGCUUGCUGCUGAACGAGUGAAGACGGCCUCUAGAGCAUCUCCCAGCUGCGAACCAACAUGUAGUUAGAUGGUUGGACAGUGGUAUUCUAAGCCCAUCAGGAUUUAAGUCCUGAUGCUCGCAUUUCCGGCGAUGUGCGUUUAGUGAAAGGAGACGUUCUAUCGACUACGAGGCCCCUUUGGUGACUUCGUCAAUCUCAAGAUGAUAUGCCAGCUCAGUCUCUCGAAGAUACUCAUAGAGGUAGGGUAUGCGUAUGUGUUCAUAGAAAUGAGUGUAUGCGCGUAUAUAUGAGCGCAUGCAUCUGUACUGUGUUAAAAAAAACAUCUCCCACGUCGUUCCAUGAACGGACAUUUUCAAAUGUUUA